UAGGUGGUGGUGCAUGGCCGUUCUUAGUUCGUGGAGUGAUUUGUCUGGUUAAUUCCGAUAACGAACGAGACUCAAAUAUGUUCAAUAGAUGCAUUCAGGAUUAUGAUGUUGAAACCUUAUAUAUCUGGUUUAACAGCACCCUACUGCAAAUGUAGGACUGUUUGAAUUUGUUUAUAUUGGGUGGAGUCGUACCUGUUUGUUUGUCCCAUUAAUACGGACACUAGCUUCUUAAAUGGACAAAUUGCGUUUAGCAAUAAUGAGAUUGAGCAAUAACAGGUCUGUGAUGCCCUUAGAUGUCCUGGGCUGCACGCGCGCUACAAUGAAAGUAUCAACGUGUAUUUCCUAGACCGAGAGGUCCGGGUAAACCGCUGAAUCACUUUCAUGCUUGGGAUUGUGAACUGAAACUGUUCACAUGAACUUGGAAUUCCCAGUAAGUGCGAGUCAUUAACUCGCAUUGACUAAGUCCCUGCCCUUUGUACACACCGCCCGUCGCUACUAC
rnacentral:rRNA from 1 species